rnacentral:rRNA from 1 species
ACGUAGGUGGCGAGCGUUAUCCGGAAUUAUUGGGCGUAAAGGGUGCGUAGGCGGCCUUUUAAGUUUGUGGUGAAAGCGUGGGGCUCAACCCCAUAUAGCCAUAGAUACUGGGAGGCUAGAGUACUGGAGAGGGUAGUGGAAUUCCAUGUGUAGCGGUAAAAUGCGUAGAUAUAUGGAGGAACACCGGUGGCGAAGGCGGCUACCUAGCCAGAGACUGACGCUGAGGCACGAAAGCGUGGGGAGCAAAUAG